UGUAUUGUUUAGUUGCUGAACAUUAUUGUCUUUUAUGUUUGUUGGUUAAUUUAUAUGAUUUCUUGUGUCACAUAGAUGUUAAUUAGUAUUUUAUAUAGAAGUUGGAUGAAUCUAAGAAGAAGCAAUAGUGAGUUCAACAAUGGAGUGUAGGAUUUUCUUGCUAGGGAAUUUUAACGAGGUUCUAAAGGAGAAAAAAUAUUAUGCCCAUGUGAUGCUUGUAAGAAUCGCUAUUGGCAAUUUAGAAAUGUUGUGGAGGAUCACUUGUUUGAAAAAGGAUUUGUUGUAGGAUACGAGAGGUGGAUUUCUCACAGAGAAAGGAUAUAUACAAGUACACCUCAUUCAAGCAGUAGUAAUGACGAAACUUAUAAUAAUCAAGAUGAUAUUGAUAGACUGCUUCAUGACACAUUUAGAAAUAUAGAAUAUAAUGUAGAGCAUGAAGAAAGGGUGGGAGAAGGGCUAUCUGAAGAGGAAAAAAAGUUUUUUAGAUUAGUUGAAGAAGGGAAAAAGGAGUUAUAUCCAGGGUGUGAGAACUUCAGCAAGUUGAGUUUUGUGAUUUGAUUAUACUUGCUUAAAACUACGCAUAGUUUGAGUAAUGUGGCCUUUUUAGAUCUGCUAGACUUAUUGAAAGAGGCAUUUUCAUUUUCUCAACUUCCUGAGUCUUUUAGUAAGGCUAGAAAAAUGAUAAAAGAUUUAGGUCUCGAUUAUGAAAAUAUACAUGUGUAUCCUAAUAAUUGCGUGAUCUUUUGCAAAAACAAGGUAGAUGCUGAUAAUUGCUCUAUGUGUGGGUCUUCUAGAUGGUCAUAUGUUGUUGAUGGAUUGACUACUGAAAAAUCUAAAAUACCCGCCAAGAUUUUGAGAUAUUGUCCUUUGAAGCCUAGGCUUCAAAGACUAUUCAUGAAUUCUGAAACUGCUGCUGUGAUGACAAGGCAUGACACUGAAAGACAAAACGAUGGUAAUUUAAGACACCUUGUUGAUGGAGAAUCUUGGAAGGAUUUUGACUCUUUGCAUCUAACCUUCUCGAAUGAUCCUCAAAAUGUUAGAUUGUAUCUUUCAAGUGAUGGAUUUAAUCAAUUUCGUACCAUGAGUAUUUUCCAUAGUACAUGGCCUGUUAUGUUGAUGAAUUACAAUCUAUCACUGUGGAUUUGCAUGAAGCCAGAGUACAUAAUAUUGUCAGUAAUCAUUCUAGGUCCAUCCUCUCUCUGAAAUGAUAUUGAUGUGUACCUACAACUAUUAAUUGAUUAGUUGAAUGAGUAUAGGAAUUUGGGGCAGAAACAUAUAAUGCCCAUAAAAACCAAAUAUUUCAAAUGCGUGCAGCCUUGUUAUGGACAGUUAGCAAUUUUCCAGCGUUAGCAAUUUUGUCCGGAUGGAGCACUAAAAGAAGAUUAUCAUGUCCAACUUGUAACUAUAGCACAUCCUCUCAAUAUCUUGAGCAUAGUCAAAAGAUGUGUUACUUGGGGUCACCGGAAAUUGUUGUCUCCUAAUCAUCCAAAUGGAAGAGACAAGAAAUCCUUUAAUGGUGCAGAGGAUCAUAGACCUGCACCCACACCUUUUUUAGGAAGAGAAGUGGUUGAAAAGCUAUAGGAUUUCAACAAUAUUUUUGUAAAGGGACAAAAUAAAAGACAUAGGACUACUGAGGGUUCAUGAAAUAAAAAUUGUCUUCUUUCAAUUACGAUAUUGGGCUACAAUUAAGUUGAGGCACAAUCUAGAUGUAAUGUAUAUUGAGAAAAACUUUUUGGAUAGUUUGCUUGCAAUUUUACUCGAUAUAUUAGGAAAGUCAGAGGAUUACAUUAUUUCUCGAUAUGACUUGCAAGUAAUGGGUAUAAAGAAGGAGGUUCAUCCCAUAAAAGAUAAUACAAAUGGAAAAGUAUACUUAGCUAAAUCUUAUUUUUCCAUGAAACCAGAAGAAAAAAAAUUAUGUUGCGCAGUUUUGAAAAAUGCAAAACUAACAAAAGGGUGUGUGUCGAACAUAUCAAACCAUGUGUAUGUAGAACAAAUAAAGAUAUCAGGUUAUAAGAGCCAUGAUGAACAUAUUAUGAUGCAUAACUUGCUGCAGAUUGUAGUUCAUAAAUCAUUAUCGAAGAAUGUUACGGUGAUUUUGAUUAGGUUGGGAAACGUUUUUAAAGCCAUAUACAGUAAGGUAAUAAAGCGAGCAGAUCUAGAGGGAUUGCUACCUGAAAUAAAAGAAAUUGAAUGUAAGCUUGAAAAUAUAUUUCCUUCAACCUUUUCUGAUAUAAUGGAACAUUUGCCUAUUCAUUUGGUAGAUAAAAUUAGGUUGGGGGUCCAAAUCAUCUUCGUUAUAUGUAUACCAUGGAGAGAGAACUAUGUGAAUUUAAGGACCUUGUUCGUAAUCGGUUUAAUCUGGAAGGUUCAAUAUUAGAGGGGUUUAUUGCAAAAGAGUUUUCGACCUUUGAUUCCAGAUACUUACAUGAUGGAGCAAAGAUAAGAUUCAGCAGAUACAAAACAGAGUAUGACAAAGAUUUUGAAGAAGAGCAAGAUUAUGUAUCAAUUGUAUUCUCUAAGCUUGGUCAUCCAGUAGGAAAUAAGAAGAAAACAAAAGGAAAACCUUUGAAGAUGAAUCAACAGUUAUCUUCUGAAGCACAUCAAUAUGUAUUUUUGAACACCGGACAUGAACAAGUCGAUGAUUUUAUCAAAUUGUGCAGUCAUGAGUCCAAAGAAAAACAAAAAUGUGAAGGUGAAGAAGAAUUACAUGGCGGGUGGAAGUCUUACAUCCAUGGCAUGCAAAUGGUCUUCUUCAUUGAGAAUAAAUCCCUCUGUUGAGCAUAUUCUGCGUCAAAACUUUUCUUCUGAUCUAUUUUCAAAAGCUUUAGAGGAACUGGUACCUCAAAAGUCUCCUAGAAAGACUUCCACUCAGAAACCACAACCUAUACAACAGGAAAUGCCACCACAAAAGACUCCUCGGAAGUCGACGAGAUUGAAAACACAAGCUAUACAAGAAAAAGUGCCUUGAAAGUCUCCUUAAAAAUCUAUGUUUCUGAUAGCAUAUGGUAUACAGAAACAUGCAACAAAAUUCUCAGAAUUCUACUACUGGUAAAGUACAGGUUGGGAAGGAACCAAUUCAACAAGUGUCUCAAAAAUCCUCCAUUAUUGAAGCACAAGCUGUGCAAGAAUCGGUUCAAUGGGUUACUCGAAAUUCUACCGCCCUUAGAGCACAAGUUGGUCAGGUACAACUGCAACAAAUAAGUAUGGAUUCUUCCUCUAUUGGAAUAGAAUUUGCCGCGGAACAAAUGCAACCAAAGCCAAGAGAUUUUUCUACUCUAGAAGAAGAAGAUGUGCAAGACUAAGAACAAGAAGAACCACUGGUUUCAUGAGAAAAUGAUUUAUCCGUAGAACAAGGUGGAGAAAACAAUCUAGGUGGUGAUGAAAGCAUGGAUGAGGACGACAUUUGAGAUUUGCUUGAAAGUGGUCGAAACUCGUGCAUCAUGACCUGAUUUUUUGUUGAUAUAAUGAAGUCUUAUUUUGAUAUCCAGUGGAAACUUGUGCCAACUGUUGUAUAUUUUUUCCAUGGAUCGUAUUGCGACUAAUUUUUUGUGACUUUGUAGGAUGACAUUAUGACUUGCAAAUUUUAUUUAUUUUGCGUCUAUAAGGCGGGUGACAUAUUUUUUUGACUGAGAUAUUUUAAAUUAGAAUCAAUCAUCUUUUGUGGUA